AAAUAAUGUAUAAAUUUAUCUAUUUUACAUAGCACUUAUUAUUAUUGUUAUGCACAUAUUUUAAAUAUUAACAUAAGAAAAUGUGUUUUCCCUCGUCAUUGCAUUUUAAUAAAUUAUUAGAGGUAAUUCAAGUUUGGUUUAAUUUUCUAUAUUGAUUUAGUCUAAUGUGUGUGCAGAUCGAGUCAUCCCAUUCACGAACUAGUCUCAUUCUGUUCCAUGUGUGGACUACUUUCUCCCACAUGUGCAUGAAGCUAUCCAUUCUUUUGUCCACGUCAUAUUUUCCGUGUGCACCAAGCUUUCCAACUUAGCAAAACAGAGGCUUCUCCCAUUUUCUUCACGUGUCCAAACUUCCUAUAUUUUAGAUUUAGAACAAAGCUCUUCCAACCUACCCGAGUGGACCCCAACCACUUUUCAAAAAAAA
rnacentral:lncRNA from 1 species